UUUUCAUUUUAUGUAUCCACAUUUAUAGUUCGUGAUAUAAAGUAUUCGUUCCAUGCUCAGAUUAACGAAGAGUUGUUUCUAGGCGAAGAAACAAGUGUUUAAAUUACCCGAUAUAUAGCCAUUACUAUGUUUGGUGUUUGACACGGAGAUUUCAGGUAUUCGUCCACCAGACAGCAACGAAACAACAGUGAAAACACAAUUACCCAUACGACAAACUUACAAGUGUAAGGUUAGCCGUCGAUAACAACCGGUGCUAAUAUUUAUGAGGGCAUCAAUUUUCGUAUAGAAAGUUAAAGAAAAUGUGUGAUCCUUGAAUUUUGAGUUCGUACAAAAAGGCGAAGACUUAGAGUUUGUCAAAUAUCUGAUGAGG
rnacentral:lncRNA from 1 species